GUAGUUGGCGGGGUAACGGCCCACCAAGCCAACGAUCAGUAACUGGUGUGAGAGCACGACCAGUCACACGGGCACUGAGACACGGGCCCGACUCCUACGGGAGGCAGCAGUAAGGAAUAUUGGUCAAUGGACGCAAGUCUGAACCAGCCAUGCCGCGUGGAGGAUGAAGGCCCUCUGGGUUGUAAACUUCUUUUAUCUGGGAAGAAACCACUCUUUUCUAAGGGUGUUGACGGUACCAGUUGAAUAAGCACCGGCUAACUCCGUGCCAGCAGCCGCGGUAAUACGGAGGGUGCAAGCGUUAUCCGGAUUCACUGGGUUUAAAGGGUGCGUAGGUGGGCAGGUAAGUCAGUGGUGAAAUCUCCGGGCUUAACCCGGAAACUGCCGUUGAUACUAUCUGUCUUGAAUGUAGUGGAGGUGAGCGGAAUAUGUCAUGUAGCGGUGAAAUGCUUAGAUAUGACAUAGAACACCCAUUGCGAAGGCAGCUCGCUACACUAUUAUUGACACUGAGGCACGAAAGCGUGGGGAUCAAACAGGAUUAGAUACCCUGGUAGUCCACGCCCUAAACGAUGGAUACUCGACAUCAGCGAUACACAGUUGGUGUCUGAGCGAAAGCAUUAAGUAUCCCACCUGGGAAGUACGAUCGCAAGAUUGAAACUCAAAGGAAUUGACG
rnacentral:rRNA from 1 species